rnacentral:rRNA from 1 species
AUAGCGUAUAUUAAAGUUGUUGCAGUUAAAAAGCUCGUAGUUGAACUUCUGCCCAAUUUAGAUGGGAUCUCCUAGCUAAAGUGGGCAUACGUUUGCAAACCAAAUUCGGCCUUCACUGGUUCGACUUGGGGAGUAAACAUUUUACUGUGAAAAAAUUAGAGUGUUCAAGGCAGGUUUUAGCCCGGAUACAUCAGCAUGGAAUAAUGGAAUAGGACUGAGUCCAUUUUAUUGGUUAUUGGAUUUGGUAAUGAUUAAUAGGGACAGUUGGGGGCAUUAGUAUUUAAUAGUCAGAGGUGAAAUUCUUGGAUUUAUUAAGGACUAACUAAUG